rnacentral:lncRNA from 1 species
UGUUCAGAGAGGCCAAGAAGAAUCCAGGUGGACAGGCCUUGCCAUCUCUUCACACUGAUUGCCACUGAGUCCAGCCACGUUAGGGACCUACAUUUUGGUGUGGCGAGCAGGGUCACCAAAGCUGCUCUGCUCUUCCGGAAGCCACAGAAAAGGGAACCCAGGAACCAGAUCAGCUGGCAAAAAGCCUGUGUUGCCCAGGCUAGUCUAGAUUAGAACUCCUGGGCUCAAGGGAUCCUCUUGACUUGGCCUCCGAAAGAGCUGGGAUUACAGAGCCUCCUGAGCAGCUGGGAUUAUAGGCGGGUGUCACCACGCCCAGCUAAUUUUUGUAUUUUUAGUAGAGACGGGGUUUCGCCAUGUUGGCCAGGCUGUCUGGUCUUGAAUUCCUGACCUCAGGUGAUCCACCCAUCUCAGCCUCCCAAAGUGCUGGGAUUACAGGCAUGAGCCACUGCACCCAGCCACAAUGACUAUCUUUGACCUGCCUACUUGUGAAGUGGUACCUUCUUUAGAAAGAGAAGAACCUUUAACAAGGAAGAAAAGGGCCAAUCUGCAGCGAGAUUUGGAGAAGGGAAACAGCAUUUGCAGGACAUCCACCCAACUCUAGGCUUCGUGCCAGGUGGCUUAAGUAUAUGAUCACAGCCUCGGCUUGGGAGGGGCCUGAGGAGCUAAUGAACAGCCUGGUACAGCCUAGGACAUGCUGGGAAGUUCUGGAAAUACUCACUCCAAGCAGGUCAAGGUGGAGUAGUUUUCUACCAGGACAUAGUUAAUAACCCAUAAAGGUCUCUGCUUAAGUAAGAAGUCCAUUUCUGUGAACCAUAACCCAGAUAUAGCAACGCCAGACUGUCUCCUAUCAAAAUUUAUUGAAAUGGUAGAUUUUUGAUUCCUGCGGUCACACCUUGCAACCAGUCUCCCACUCAUCUGCCACCGUUUCCCUAAAUCGCAUUCUCUGAAUCUGGAAGUUCCAGGAAACCUUAGGCCGAGUCCAGUGACAUUACUCGAUGCAACAGCCCAACUGUUUCUCCAGAGAUCCUGCUUCUUGGUGACAAUGUCCCUUCUUGGCAUGGUUAUUUAAGGAGAGGUUGGGCCCAGAUAAGAGGGGCUCCAUGGCUCACCGGAGUUGGCCAUUAACGCCUCUGGAGCACCUCUGGUUUUGUUGGGGUCCCCCGUGAGCUCGACGCUCGUGCUGCGGUUAUUAUCUGGCUCACCUGUCAUCUUCCUCCGGAGGCAGCGGUUGAUCAAAGUGGAGAAGAAGUUGGGAAAGGAUGGGCUGGAGAAGUAGUACACCACAGGGUCCAGCAUGCUGUUCAUGUAGGUGAAGCUGAGAGUGAUAAAGAACGCCAGGUCCACCGAGCGGUACACUUCACAAUUCUGCGUGCCCAAAGUGUGCAGGAGCCAAAAGAUGCGUAUCCGCACAACCACGCUGGGAAGGAAGCAGAUGACAAAGACAAUGGCCACCACCAUGAUGAAGGUGAUGGCUCUCUUGAUCUUGGCAUGCCGGUCCAUUUGUCUCUGCCGCAGGC